CUGCGGAGGGAUCAUUACAAGUGACCCCGGUCUAACCACCGGGAUGUUCAUAACCCUUUGUUGUCCGACUCUGUUGCCUCCGGGGCGACCCUGCCUUCGGGCGGGGGCUCCGGGUGGACACUUCAAACUCUUGCGUAACUUUGCAGUCUGAGUAAACUUAAUUAAUAAAUUAAAACUUUUAACAACGGAUCUCUUGGUUCUGGCAUCGAUGAAGAACGCAGCGAAAUGCGAUAAGUAAUGUGAAUUGCAGAAUUCAGUGAAUCAUCGAAUCUUUGAACGCACAUUGCGCCCCCUGGUAUUCCGGGGGGCAUGCCUGUUCGAGCGUCAUUUCACCACUCAAGCCUCGCUUGGUAUUGGGCAUCGCGGUCCGCCGCGUGCCUCAAAUCGACCGGCUGGGUCUUCUGUCCCCUAAGCGUUGUGGAAACUAUUCGCUAAAGGGUGUUCGGGAGGCUACGCCGUAAAACAACCCCAUUUCUAAGG
rnacentral:rRNA from 1 species